UACGAGGGGGGGCGAGCGUUGUUCGGAAUUAUUGGGCGUAAAGGGCGCGUAGGCGGUGCGGUAAGUCACCUGUGAAACCUCUGGGCUCAACUCAGAGCCUGCAGGCGAAACUGCCGUGCUGGAGUGUGGGAGAGGUGCGUGGAAUUCCCCGGUGUAGCAGUGAAAUGCGUAGAUAUCGAGAGGAACACCAGUGGCGAAGGCGAGUCUCUGGACGACUCCUGACACUGAGGCACGAAAGCUAGGGGAGCAAACAGG
rnacentral:rRNA from 1 species